UGAUCGACUACGCCGACUGCUGUUCGCGGUAAAAUAAUGAAGUUGAUGUUUUUUACGUAUAUGUCUUGACCAAGUCUCGUGCCAGCAGUCGCGGUAAUACGUGGAAGACUAGUGUUAUUCAUCUUUAUUAGGUUUAAAGGGUACCUAGACGGUAUUUCUAGCCCAAAAUAGGGUACGGAUUUACUAGAGUUUUAUGUGAGGAGGGGAGUACUCGUGGAGUAGAGAUGAAAUUUUGUUAUACUAUGAGGUAACUGGUAGCGGCGAAAGCAACCUUCUAUGUAUAAACUGACGUUGAGGGACGAAGGCUUGGGUAGCAAAUAGGAUUAGAUACCCUAGUAGUCCAAGCAGACAAUUCUGAAUGCCAUAGAUUAGAUUAUUUUUGAUCUAUAAAUGAAAGUGUAAGCAUUCCACCUUAGGAGUAAUGUGGCAACACAGGAACUGAAAUCAUUAGACCGUUUCUGAAACCAGUAGUGAAGUAUGUUAUUUAAAUUGAUGGUCCACAAAAAACCUUACCACAACUUGAAUAUUUUUAAUUAAUACAAGCGUUGCACGGCUGUCUUCAGUUAAUGUCGUGAGAUUUUGGUUAACUCCAUUAAUUAACGUAAACCCUUACUUUAUUUUUU
rnacentral:rRNA from 1 species